CGCAUGCAUUUUAUUUGUGCUUGUGAUGAUAGUUGUACUUUCUAGAUACCUCUGUCACUGAAAAACACUUUUACAGAUGAUUUGCUGCAGCUAACAUUCUCUUGCAUCUUGUUUUUGUCUAGCAUCUUCCAAAGUCUUAAAGAACAUGUGUGAGAACUUCUACAAGUACUCAAAGCCCAAGAAGAUCCGAGUGUGUGUUGGAACCUGGAAUGUGAACGGCGGGAAACAGUUCCGCAGCAUAGCAUUCAAGAACCAGACCCUCACCGACUGGCUUCUUGAUGCACCCAAGUUAGCUGGCAUCCAGGAGUUUCAAGGUUGGAUUUUUAUAUCAGGGGUUUAAAAUCCUGACUGCAGUGUGACACUUCACUAAUUUAGAAAAGAAACUUGGCUUGCCUUUUUAAAAUUAGUUUGAAAGCCAGUAUUUCUCAGGCUAAGUCUGACAAAAUCUUACCUCACUUUUUAUUUAUAGAAAAUUUGCUAUUUAGUUAAAAAAAAAAAAA
rnacentral:lncRNA from 1 species